CCCUUAGAUGUUCUGGACCGCACGCGCGCUACACUGACAGAGCCAACGAGUUCUUCACCUUGGCCGGAAGGUCUGGGUAAUCUUGUUAAACUCUGUCGUGCUGGGGAUAGAGCAUUGCAAUUAUUGCUCUUCAACGAGGAAUGCCUAGUAAGCGCGUGUCAUCAGCACGCGUUGAUUACGUCCCUGCCCUUUGUACACACCGCCCGUCGCUACUACCGAUUGAAUGGCUCAGUGAGGCCUUCGGACUGGCUCAGGGAGGUUGGCAACGACCACCCCGAGCCGGAAAGUUCGUCAAACUCGGUCAUUUAGAGGAAGUAAAAGUCGUAACA
rnacentral:rRNA from 1 species